rnacentral:rRNA from 1 species
AAAUCUUGACAGAACCCUUCGGGGCGAAGAUAAGAUGGAUUAGCGGCGGACGGGUGAGUAACACGUGAGUAACCUGCCUUAGACAUUGGGAUAGCCUCGGGAAACCGGGAUUAAUACCAAAUGAAAUCACAUAUGCACAUGCAUAAAUGAUCAAAGCUCCGGCGGUCUAAGAUGGACUCGCGUCCCAUUAGCUAGUUGGUGAGGUAACGGCCCACCAAGGCGACGAUGGGUAGCCGGCCUGAGAGGGUGAACGGCCACAUUGGAACUGAGAAACGGUCCAAACUCCUACGGGAGGCAGCAGUGGGGAAUAUUGCACAAUGGAGGGAACUCUGAUGCAGCGACGCCGCGUGAACGAAGAAGGCUUUCGAGUCGUAAAGUUCUUUUAUGUGGGAAGAUAAUGACGGUACCAUAAGAAAAAGCCCCGGCUAACUACGUGCCAGCAGCCGCGGUAAUACGUAGGGGGCUAGCGUUGUCCGGAAUCACUGGGCGUAAAGGGUUCGCAGGCGGAAAUGCAAGUCAGGUGUAAAAGGCAGUAGCUUAACUACUGUAAGCAUUUGAAACUGCAUAUCUUGAGAAGAGUAGAGGUAAGUGGAAUUUUUAGUGUAGCGGUGAAAUGCGUAGAUAUUAAAAAGAAUACCGGUGGCGAAGGCGACUUACUGGGCUCAUUCUGACGCUGAGGAACGAAAGCGUGGGUAGCAAACAGGAUUAGAUACCCUGGUAGUCCACGCUGUAAACGAUGAGUGCUAGGUAUCGGAAAAAUUCGGUGCCCAGUUACACAUUAAGCACUCCGCCUG